rnacentral:rRNA from 1 species
GACGAACGCUGGCGGCGUGCUUAACACAUGCAAGUCGAACGGAAAGGCCCUGCUUUUGUGGGGUGCUCGAGUGGCGAACGGGUGAGUAACACGUGAGUAACCUGCCCUUGACUUUGGGAUAACUUCAGGAAACUGGGGCUAAUACCGGAUAGGAGCUCCUGCUGCAUGGUGGGGGUUGGAAAGUUUCGGCGGUUGGGGAUGGACGCGCGGCUGAUCAGCUUGUUGGUGGGGUAGUGGCUUACCAAGGCUUUGACGGGUAGCCGGCCUGAGAGGGUGACCGGCCACAUUGCGACUGCGAUACGGCCCAGACUCCUACGGGAGGCAGCAGUGGGGAAUAUUGCACAAUGGGCGGAAGCCUGAUGCAGCAACGCCGCGUGCGGGAUGACGGCCUUCGGGUUGUAAACCGCUUUCGCCUGUGACGAAGCGUGAGUGACGGUAAUGGGUAAAGAAGCACCGGCUAACUACGUG